AGGCGUAUUCUGUGCGGCCCAUUGACCGCGACUGCCCCCCGCCACAGCACAGGAAGGAGAAUCUCGUCGUCCCCUAUCCCAAAACUUUACCCCGUGGAGAAGCCCCAGUCCUCUCUGCCCUCUUCUCUUUCCCCCCGGGCGACGGCGGCGGGGUGCUAUCCGGCGAGAUGUCCACCAACGGCGGCGACUGCGCCGGGUUCAGGCUCUCCGGAGCACUCGUCCUCCUCCACUCCGGCGACCAAAUCACCCGGAUCCCGCGUCAUCUUCCACUCCAGCGGCGACUCAACUCAAGUUUGCAGAACACCGGAUCUGCCCAGGGCAAGGCCCUCGUCCACGAAUGUGGCCGGGAAAAUUCAUUUUCUUCAUUUUUUUGGUCGGUGAGGCUGGAUCACACGUCAAUUACUUGUGCUUUUCUCCUAGCUGUUGAUCAUCUGUUCCAGAUUUGCACUUUUUUUGGUGAUUUUUAUUUUGUUCCAUCUAUCCUUUUGAGACGGGUGAUCUAGCUGUAUGGCUCGAUCGAGAUGCAUAUCACUUCUGCUGUUAAAUCCAAAAUAGACUGCUCUCCUUUGUUUUCUUGUAAUCCCCUUCCUUCUAUUCCUUCUGUACAUAUGCGAUUUUCUUUUGUUUGUUUGUAAUCCCCUUCGUCUGGACUGGAUAGAUCUCUCCUCAUCCUGUUGCUGCGCAGAUCCAAAUUUGCCGUGAUGUUUUUAUAGACAAUAUAUAUGUUGUUUUUUAUUCGUACCCAUGCUUAUGUGCCAGAUUGACUUAAUUUCUGUGAUGUCUUGAGGAUUCCUCUAACUUGGAUAAUUGAUGCUUAAUCCUGCUGGAACUUAAUAAUGGAUUUGAUGUUCUGUUCUUGAUGUGCUAAUCCAAGGAGUCACAGACUUGAGCAACGUUGAUGGUCAAGUGUGUCGUGGCGGCGAGGCCACAUCCCUUGUCAGAUACGCUGGUUGCGGAGCUACAAGUGGCUGGACCAGAAGGUGUUUCAGAUUAAAAUUUCCUCAUCCAAAAAACCAUUAAUUCUGAACAUAGUAUGUGCCGGCCUUGUUCUUGGUUAGAUUUUGAAUACACCCACAUUUCUUGGUUAGCUUAAGUUUUUUUAUAUGUGAUCUACCAGAUUCUCAAUGGUCUGAUGAUGAAUUAUCAUUCAUGUCAUCAAGUUUGAAGAUUCUUUGUAAAUGAUGUAUAUUUCUAGAUCAUACACUCCUGUUGAAUAUGAAUAGGUAAUUUGUGAGGCAUUGGGGUGAUCAUUUCGUUCUUGCAUGCCAGCCUGUUAAAAUUCACAUUUCUGCGAGCAGUUGACACCGCCAUGAGUGUAAAUGAUUUCAUGUCAUGUUUAAUCUAUGGAAGUGUUUAUGACACCGCCAUGAGUGUGAGCUUUUAUGCAUUGGUGUCUCUUAGUUAGGUAAGGCAAAUGUUAACAGGAAGAAUGCGAUGGAAUUGUCAAUGAGACCAAUAUGUCGAGAAGGGAGAUGACCCAGUAGUCUAAUGAUUUCUGUAACGGAUUGUUUGAAUCAUCUUCAAACUUCACCUGCAUCUAUUUUUGUUUCUCUAUGUGACUAUUACUUUUGUAACUGUUUGUUUAUUUUUUUGGGUACAUUGCUGACCCAAUUGUUCAGGAUUAGGAUCGGCAAUGCUCCUGAGGAGAGGGAGAUGAACCCCAACAGGAAAACAUCGCUACAAUUGUCUGUGCGUGCUUAUGGAGAGAAGGGUGUAUCAACCGUGGUGUUGUUGGACACCAGAACUGUCUUUUAUGCCCUUCCCUGAAUUGUUGUUUGUUGUACUUUGUUAAAUCAUAGGGCUGUUAUGUAAAAUGCAUGUUAAAUCUUGGGGCUGUUACUUUUAGUUUACAUAACUGCUAGUUCGAAACUGUGGCAUUGAUAUCAUGCCACUACUUAGCUUUGGUAGGCAGAAACUGAAUUCAAAUGUUGUUGUGGCUGCUGUUAACUACA